CCGGAGGACCGUUUGGUAGUAGAGGUUUGGCCCAAAUAAUCCCCGCACAUCCCCGCAAAUCCCCGAUGUGGAUCCACUUUUGGCCUACCAAAAAAUCCCGACCCCUACCCUAGCGUUUUAUUAUCCCCGUCCCCGCUCUCUUCUCUUCUCGUCUCUCGUUCUCCACUCUCGUGUCGCAAAACGUACAGAUCGGAGAUGCGGCGCCGCGGCGACCGGAGAUGCGAGGGGCGAGAGGUAGAGCGGGGGAGAGGGAGAGCAUCGGGGCGGCAGCGAGCGGCGGCAACGGGCAGCGAGAGGAGGCGAGCGGCGGCCGGCGGCCAGCAAAGGCCAUGAUGGAUCCUGCCGAGCCAAUUUGCACCGCCGCCGUCGCCGUAGGAAUCUGACCGUCGACGACACCUUGCUGGUCUGGAGUUCGUUCUAGGUGGUUUCUUUCUUAACUCCAUUUUCCACAACAAACUGCAAGUGGAACAUUCUGGAUUUCUCUCCUAAAAAUUCAUUUGUUGGAGAGCUCCCACCUCCGUGGGAUCCUAUAUCAACACCCACAUUCAGUAUGAGCUGACGGUACAUGGAUGUUUUUUGAAGAUCACAUGAACAAAAUGAACAGAGUUUCCAAGAGUUUCCAAAAUGAACAGAGUCUCCUAAUUUAUGCCGAACCGUUGCGCAUUACGUGACUGAAAAUUUGUGUUUUAAUUCCUGAUGCAUGUUGGAUGUUUACUAUACAGACUUGGGUUAAAUUGUUGCCAUAAAAAUUGAAUCUUUUGUAACUUACGCUGAAAUAUCUCCAUUGUUUCU